rnacentral:lncRNA from 1 species
AACAAGCAUGAUAAUGAGCAUAGAUGUAUCAAUAAAAUGGCUAUGGAAAUGGAGCAAGAGAGUUACCUAGUGGAAGUCUAGUCCACUGCUUCUUGACUGUGGAGAGACUAGAAGAAAAUGAUGCUUCCUUGGUGCUUCAAGAGCUUCACCUUGAGAACUUGCUGAGAAAUGGAAGUUGACCUCUAAUGACUCUUUUCCUUGCUUGCUCGAAAAUCCACUGCCCUCGUUUCAUGUUUACGGUUUCUUG